rnacentral:lncRNA from 1 species
GUCCAGCUGCCAUCUUUUCUCUCUCUAACGCAUACAAUGGAAAAGCCUUUGCCAGAUCGGGUAGCCCCAGGGCUGGGGCUGCCAGAAGUUUUUCCUUUAACUCCUGAAAGACUUUCUGUUCUUGGGAUCCCCAUUCCAAAGGUUCCCGGUCCCCGCCCCCUUUGUGACCUCAUACAAAGGCUUGGCUAACACUGCAAAGUUUGGGAUGCACAGUCUAUAAAACCCCACAGCCCCUGAGAAUUCCCUCACCUGCCUUCUGCCCUUAGGCUCCGGUAGAUUGCAAAUGACCUGCUUUCUUUCUGUUCCCGGGCUGCGUUCGGACCCCUGUCGGAUAGUAACUCCCAAGUAAGGUACCUGCCGUCGGCAGAUUGGAGCUUUCUUCUUGGAGACCUAAUACCCACAGUCCUCCAGGCUCCGGUAGAUUGCAAAUGACCUGCUUUCUUUCUGUUCCCGGGCUGCGUUCGGACCCCUGUCGGAGAGUAAAUCCGAAAAAAACAAACAAAGACAUGGAUUUACUGUGCAUAUUAGCAGAUCCAUACUGGAAAAUGCAUGGAGGUUUCAUAUACACCACUUACAGUUUUCAGCUCCUCAGUAGUGACAAAGCCAUACCCAUCAUUGUCGAUUCGAUCAACAAUCUUCCCUAGCCUCUCCUUGCUCUCGUCCGGGGUGAGCUCGUCGAAGUUCUUGGAGUCCUCCUUGCCCAGGAAGGCCUCGUGGUCGUACUGGAAGCUCUGGUUGUCCUCAGGGGGCCGCUCGCCCAGCUCCGAGUCGGGCCGCACCACGCGCUCUUUGCGCACCGUGGGCUUGGCCCGCAGAACCCGCGGCGCCAGCACCAGCGCCAGCAGCAGCCCCAGGGCUAACCCCAGGCGGCCACCGCGCGCCAUCGUCCCGAGGAGA